rnacentral:tRNA from 1 species
GCCUGGGUGGCUCAGUUGGUUAAGCGUCUGCCUUCGGCUCAGGGAGUGAUCCCAGAGUCGUGGGAUCGAGCCCCACAUCAGGCU